CUUGGCCAAACUAUGCUUUCUUAGGAACCGGGCUAAAUAGGAGCAGAAGCUAUUCUGUGUAGCUGUGAGUUCAAGAAAUACUUGAGAUAAUUACUGGAGGUCCUCUGAGAAUAAAAUUUGUACUUGAAAAAGAUCGUCAGAAUGGACAGAUGGUUGAAGCACUGAGACCCAUUAAGCUCUGAAUUAGGAACAGCCAAGAAGGGAAAUUUCUAGUUGUUUCUCUGACCAGUUCUCUGAGUUGCUGCUCUUCAGUUGUUUUCUAGAACAAAAUGGUUGUCAUUUGAGAACAGGUCAGCAGUGAGUUCUCUGCUGACCUGAAAGUAAAGUGAAAUGGAACUACAGAAAGAAUUUCUGAAAACUAAAGUAUCAAGAGUGAGCAUCAAGAAAAAGAAUGGAACAGAAAGGAAAGGCAGAUUGAGGAAAUACGAGGCUGAAUUUGGGAAGUGAAGUUGACAAGCUGACAGGAAGUUAACACUGUGCUGAUAAAGGCAAGUAAGGAAAAGGUGAAGAACUAAUUAUACAAAAUGAAGCCCCAUGUUUGGAAGCUGUGCUCAGCAGGCAGAGCUCUGUUGACUUAACCAGAUGAAAUUCCUGCAGAAAGCCUUCUCCUUUGCCAGUCGAGGCUGGUUGCUGCUUGAUUGCCCUUCCUGUCACUGAUGUGCGAUCCACGCUGUUCCUGCGCCUUUCCAGAGUUUAAGAAAGACCUCUCCCUUAAGAAAGACCGUGGACAAAGACUACACUUUAGAAAAGCAGGAGAUCCUCAAGUACCUUGGAACAAUGGAAGAGUGUUCAUAGUGGAUUUGAACAUGAGCUGCCAGCAAGCUGGAUGAAUGGUGUGACUGUCACAUCCAUUGAAUGUUCUGGAGCUUUCCUGACAAGGCUUACCUUAUACCAUGCAGUGGAAUUGCCAUUUUACAGGAGAAGGAACAGAGACAAUCAGUGGGUCUCCCAGAGCUACGCAGAUUAGCUGAGGCAAGGCAAGGAAUUGGAGUCAGGUGUCACAAACCAGAGGGCCAUUGCUUCAGGUUGCAAACUCCUGUCACUCAGGAAAAGAAGGGGACCUGCUCCCUCUAUAGGAUUUCCUGGGGGUUGCGUCCCUGAACCGGCCAUCCAGGGGAUCAGAGCUGCGUGCAGGGAUUGAAGGCUGGCAAAAACCGGAGUGAGGCAUAUUUUGCAUUUCUUUCAAAUUCAGAGGUUGAUAUCUGUGUGUGUAUAUAUGUGUAUGAAUCUGUGUGUGUAUGCAUGUGCGUCUGUGUGUAUACGUGUAUACAUUCUCUAACACUUAUGUAUAUAGAUAUUUUUUCUGCAGAAGUCACGCAUGGAGCAAUUUUUACUGUUUGCUCUUGGCCUGUUUUAAACCAAUGCGUGAUCUUUUUGUGUGUGAACGUUCUGUUUGUUACUGGUUUAUGAUGACCCCCUCCU